UUGCUUUGGUAGCACAUAUAGUAAAAUUAGAAUGAAAAAACUGGAGAAUACUAGCAUGGUCCCUGAACAAUGAUAAUAAACAAAUUUGUGAAGCAUUCCUGUUUUUA
ensembl:snRNA U6 U6 spliceosomal RNA